GCCUACGGGGCGCAGCAGUAGGGAAUCUUCGGCAAUGGGCGAAAGCCUGACCGAGCAACGCCGCGUGAAUGAAGAAGGCCUUCGGGUUGUAAAAUUCUGUUCUAAGGGAAGAAAGGUGAUAGGAGGAAAUGACUAUCAAUUGACGGUACCUUAUGAGAAAGCCACGGCUAACUACGUGCCAGCAGCCGCGGUAAUACGUAGGUGGCAAGCGUUAUCCGGAAUUAUUGGGUGUAAAGGGAGCGUAGACGGCAUAGCAAGUCUGAAGUGAAAGCCCGUGGCUCAACCGCGGAACUGCUUUGGAAACU
rnacentral:rRNA from 1 species